CUUGGUCACCCCCCGCAUGCCUAGGAUUAUGUUGUAGUGAGCAGGCCCGAGCUUUGGUGAUAGUGAAAUACACGACAGUGUCGUCUUGCUUAUUCCGUCAGAUUGGGGCACGUGCUCGGCAUCUGGUUCCGCCUGAAGGUGCCUGUUGCCUGUCGGGCUGCGGAAAUCGGAGGGCAUUGCCGGGUGGAUAGUUUGGCUAUGGAUACCCAUCUGUGAAACAAUACAGCAGGUAACCUAGGGCAAGUUCAAUGAGAACAGAAGUGUCAUAUUGACCGAUAGGGGAGAAGUUUGGUUGGUUUUGGCGUUCUGUAAGAGUACAAGCUGUGAUAGCAUGGCCCAACUCUGCUUUAGCUCUGAGGGGAUUUCAGCUAGAAAGGUCAAAAAAAGUACCACAAGAUAACCAGCUUCUGACAGAGAAGCGAUCAUAGCAGCAGUGACACUUGAUCAUCCGAUCUCAGUUUUCCCUAUCAAUGAGAUGCAGAAGUCUCCAGGUGUUCACUUGCCAAUCGAGGUCAUGGGCUCGGUUUAGUACGUCGUGAGGCAAGUU
rnacentral:ncRNA from 1 species